rnacentral:rRNA from 1 species
AUUGAACGCUGGCGGCAUGCCUUACACAUGCAAGUCGAACGGUAACAGGUCUUCGGAUGCUGACGAGUGGCGAACGGGUGAGUAAUACAUCGGAACGUGCCCGAUCGUGGGGGAUAACGAAGCGAAAGCUUUGCUAAUACCGCAUAAGAUCUACGGAUGAAAGCAGGGGACCGCAAGGCCUUGCGCGAACGGAGCGGCCGAUGGCAGAUUAGGUAGUUGGUGGGAUAAAAGCUUACCAAGCCGACGAUCUGUAGCUGGUCUGAGAGGACGACCAGCCACACUGGGAUGGAGAACGGGCCCAGACCCCUACGGGAGGCAGCAGUGGGGAAUUUUGGCCAAUGGGCGAAAGCCGGAUCCAGCCAGGCGGCGUGCAGGAGGAAGGCUUUCGGGUGGUAACUGCUUUUGUACGGAACGAAAAGACUCUGGUUAAUACCUGGGGUCCAUGACGGUACCGGAAGAAUAAGCACCGGCUAACUACGUG